rnacentral:lncRNA from 10 species
CGGAGUCUCACUCACUCAAUGCUCAAUGUUGCCCAGGCUGGAGUGCAGUGGCGUGAUCUCAGCUUGCUUCAACCUCCACCUCCCAGCCGCCUGCCUUGGCCUCCCAAAGUGCUAAGAUUACAGCCUCUGCCUGCCCGCCACCCCGUCUAGGAAGUGAGCAGCAUCUCUGCCUGGCCGCCCAUCGUCUGGGAUGUGAGGAGCCCCUCUGUCCGGCUGCCUCAUCUGGGAGGUGAGGAGCACCUCUGCCCAGCCACCACCCCGUCUAGGAAGUGAUCAGUGUCUCUGCCUGGCCACCCAUCAUCUGGGAAGUGAGGAGCGCCUCUGCCCGGCUGCCCCGUCUGGGAAGUGAGGAGCACCUCUGCCCGGCCGCCACCCCGUCUAGGAAGUGAGGAGCGUCUCUGCCUGACCUCCCAUCGUCUGGGAUGUGAAGAGCACUUCUGCCCGGCCGCCCCGUCUGGGAAGCGAGGAGUGCCUCUGCCUGGCCACCCCGUCUGGGAAGUGAGGAGCGCCUCUGCCUGGAUGCCCCGUCUGGGAGGACUUAGAACUUUGGACUGCCUUUGAAUUUAAACAAGUGUUGGGAGCUUAACCAAGCACUGGAAAGUAGAGCUACCACCCCUCACCGUACCGCUCAGAACUGGCUAACCACAAAGAAGACGUUUCCUGCUCAAAUACCUGAUCACCACACCUACUCACCCAAUGCUCUGGUACCCAGCUUUUUCUUUUCCUGUUUACCUCGGUAUUAAAGAAAAGCCUUUCUGCCUGAACUCGGAGAUGCUUGUAGAUAUUACAGUCGGAGUGCACUCCCUAUUGCAAUACCCGCUUCUAUUGCAGCAGUCUUUUCAAAUACAAUUUCUUCUUCCCUAAGUUUGGAUUUUUUUUUUUUUCACCUGAAAAUCAUCACCAUUUUCAUUGAUUGCCAAGCUUUCUCUCAUCUCUACAUUCUACAGUUUUUGGUUCUGACAGCCUUUUUCUGCCAUACUACCCCAGUUACAAAUCUAACUACAGAAGCAUCUCAGGGGCAGGAUGAUUUUGUCACCAUGAAAAACUGUGUAAAUUGACAUGCUAGAGACAUGGAUAACCCUGGAAAACUAAAGCAGCGAAUGGUUCAAAAUUUACAGAUUCAACUUUCUAAAGCAAUGAUUUUUUGACUGACUUUUAAAAAAUUGGCUGCGUGUAUAUCUCCUAAUGCUUUCCCUCCCCCUUGCCCUCACCCCACGACAGGCCCCGAUAUGGGAUGUUCCCCUUCCUGUGUCCACGUUAUGCACAUGUACCCCAGAACUUAAAGUAUAAUAAUAAUAAAAAAAAUUGGCUGUGUUUUUACACAGUCUGAAGACAAUCUGAAAAUUGAAGUUGGCUUGAAAUUUAUAUUGGAUUAGCUAUGCUUUUCUGCUACAAUCAGCCACUAGCCUCACCACCACCAUGAACAAUGAUGCAUGUUUUCAAUUUUACGCCUCUAUUCCUUGCCUGAGAAUGUUUCCAUAUAACUUGUUAUUGUUUGACUUGGGGACUUAAUAAUCCAAAAGGAACAAGUAGAAGCACCAUGUUGUCAUGAAAAUAUCUCUAGGGUAGGAGUCACGAGACCUGGGCUCUAAUAUUGGCGUGCCAUUUAUUUAUGGUGAUCCUUGGUGGACACUUAAACUCUUCUGAGCUUCCAUUUCGUUAGAAUAAUUAAUCUUACUCCAUAUUUUAAGGACAUUACUUGUUUCACAUAUGUAUCUUAUAUCUUCAAUAGACUGAGAGUUGCCUCAGAGACUCUAUAGUACCCUAACUGCUUAAAAUAGCAAUAAACAUUUAAUUUAAUAGUUGUUCAAUAAAUACCUAUGAGUGUGUGACUUGAUGUGUAUCACUGUAAGCAAUACUAAAAUAAAUUCCACAA